rnacentral:lncRNA from 1 species
GUCACGGCCCCUCCUCUGCAGUGCAGGGGCGAUUCCUCCUGCAGGCAGAGGUGGGUCGUUAGUGAUUGGAGCUGGCGUGAUUGGAGCCACCUGGGCUCAGGGUAUUUAAACCUGCUGCUUCACUAACCACUCUCUCUCUCUCCCUGCUCCUCCAGGCUAUGAGCCAGCCUGUGACACCAGUCUUCCCGGUUUUGACCACUGCCUGACUGGACUACUUUCCCGCCUGCCUGAUCAUCCUGCAUGCCCUGACCUUGAAUCUGCCUGCCCUUCAGUACCUAUUGGACUCUGAACUGGUUUUAACCUUUACCCUGUACAUGACAUUCUCUUGCCUACUCCUUUUUGGAUUAAUACACAUUGUAUGACUCUAAUCUUGAUUAGAGGCCUUGUACCUUGAUAUAGUGUAUGUAAAUGAGAUAUUUCUGUAUUUCCUUUUCAAUUAAUAUACAAAAAUAUAUUGUUCACUUUGUCAUUAUGGAGUAUUAUGUGUAGAUGGGUGAGAAAUGAUCAAUUGAAUCCAUUUUUACUUCAGGUUUUAACACAAAAUGUGGAACAAGUCAAUGGGUAUGAAUUAUUUCUGAAGGCAUCCUAUGUACUCUGCUGUUCUUUUUUAAAGCAUACAAAACAUGAAUAAGAGCAAUUUGGAAUAAUUUGUUUGGAAUUUGAGCUUGCAGGGUAUAAAAUAAUAUAUCUGACCUGCUCAAACAGCCAUUACAAUCUCA